UCCAAGAAAAGCUUCUAAGCUUCAGGUAACCAGGAACCGUACCCCAAACCGACACAGGUGGUCGGGUAGAGAAUACCAAGGCGCUUGAGAGAACUCGGGUGAAGGAACUAGGCAAAAUGGCACCGUAACUUCGGGAGAAGGUGCGCCGGCUAGGGUGAAGGAUUUACUCCGUAAGCUCUGGCUGGUCGAAGAUACCAGGCCGCUGCGACUGUUUAUUAAAAACACAGCACUCUGCAAACACGAAAGUGGACGUAUAGGGUGUGACGCCUGCCCGGUGCCGGAAGGUUAAUUGAUGGGGUUAGCGCAAGCGAAGCUCUUGAUCGAAGCCCCGGUAAACGGCGGCCGUAACUAUAACGGUCCUAAGGUAGCGAAAUUCCUUGUCGGGUAAGUUCCGACCUGCACGAAUGGCGUAACGAUGGCGGCGCUGUCUCCACCCGAGACUCAGUGAAAUUGAAAUCGCUGUGAAGAUGCAGUGUAUCCGCGGCUAGACGGAAAGACCCCGUGAACCUUUACUGUAGCUUUGCACUGGACUUUGAGCCUGCUUGUGUAGGAUAGGUGGGAGGCUUUGAAGCGUGGACGCCAGUUCGCGUGGAGCCAUCCUUGAAAUACCACCCUGGCAUGCUUGAGGUUCUAACUCUGGUCCGUGAUCCGGAUCGAGGACAGUGUAUGGUGGGCAGUUUGACUGGGGCGGUCUCCUCCUAAAGAGUAACGGAGGAGUACGAAGGUGCGCUCAGACCGGUCGGAAAUCGGUCGCAGAGUAUAAAGGCAAAAGCGCGCUUGACUGCGAGACAGACACGUCGAGCAGGUACGAAAGUAGGUCUUAGUGAUCCGGUGGUUCUGUAUGGAAGGGCCAUCGCUCAACGGAUAAAAGGUACUCCGGGGAUAACAGGCUGAUACCGCCCAAGAGUUCAUAUCGACGGCGGUGUUUGGCACCUCGAUGUCGGCUCAUCACAUCCUGGGGCUGAAGCCGGUCCCAAGGGUAUGGCUGUUCGCCAUUUAAAGUGGUACGCGAGCUGGGUUUAGAACGUCGUGAGACAGUUCGGUCCCUAUCUGCCGUGGACGUUUGAGAUUUGAGAGGGGCUGCUCCUAGUACGAGAGGACCGGAGUGGACGAACCUCUGGUGUUCCGGUUGUCACGCCAGUGGCAUUGCCGGGUAGCUAUGUUCGGAAAAGAUAACCGCUGAAAGCAUCUAAGCGGGAAACUUGCCUCAAGAUGAGAUCUCACUGGGAACUUGAUUCCCCUGAAGGGCCGUCGAAGACUACGACGUUGAUAGGCUGGGUGUGUAAGCGUUGUGAGGCGUUGAGCUAACCAGUACUAAUUGCCCGUGAGGCUUGACCA
rnacentral:rRNA from 1 species